GUAGGGACCUUGCUGAAGACGUUU
rnacentral:miRNA from 1 species